GAGUCCUGCCCUCUUUAGGACUCUAGCUUGUGUGUCUCGCUCAACACAAUUCAAACGUAACGCCGACAAUUUAUUAUAUGCUUUAAUCAUUUGUUGAGAGAAGCAACGACUGUGGAGAGAAAUUGUAGCAAUACAAAGCAAAGUCAUGAAACAGCUGUUUAUAGUUAUAUUGCAGUUCCUGUUGCUCGUACACACCAGGAGUUGGGAUGACGGCAGUGUACUGCUGCAGGAUGUCCAGGUGUUAACUCUGUACAAGGGACGCUACACCACAGCGAGGCGCUCCCGCCCUGUUUCUCAGCUUCAGUGUGUUGGAGGCUCCGCAGGCUGCCACUCCUUCACCCCGGAGGUAGUCCAGUGUCAGAAUAAAGGCUGGGAUGGAGUGGAUGUACAGUGGGAGUGUAAAACUGAUAUGGACAACAAAUACAGAUUUGGUCGCAUUGAGGUGAGCUGUGAAGGCUACAGUAACCCUGACGAUGCCUACAUACUGAAGGGCUCCUGUGGGCUGGAGUACACAUUGGAACUGACUGAAGAGGGCCGGAGUAGGACUCAAGGCAGUUGGGGUUCCCAGAGUGGAUUUAAGGGAUUUGGAGGUCUUGGAGACUUUGCCUCCAGUUUUUUCAGUGGUUCCGCUGGAAAGAAGCAUCAACAUCACCAGCACCACCAGCAGAGCACGUACCCAUCAGGUGGCGAGGACUCAGGAGGCCUGCUGGUGGUUGCUGUGCUUCUGCUCUUAGCCUACGGCGUCUACAAGCUGUUCCUCAGCGGAAACACGGCCCAGCAGGGACAGGACAAUGGACAGGCUGGUUACCCCAGAGAUAAUCACUACGGCUCCAAUGCAGGACCUCCACCCCCAGGAUUCAAACCUGAUUACACAGGCUAUUCUGGUGCCAACCCUGGCUACGGUUUCCACAGUGACUACACACAUGGACAACAGUACCCAAGAGGACAAGCUUCUCCUGGCACAGGCAGUGGCUUCUGGACCGGCAUGGGGACGGGUGGGGUGCUGGGAUAUCUUUUUGGUCGUCAGAGGUUGUUUGUGCUGUUUUUGUUUUCUAGUAAGCCCCACAACUUCAACUCAUCCAAUUACAGUGUCAGCAGAGCUCCUCCUGCUGGAGACCACUCUUCUUCCUCUGGGACACGCACUGCUUCAGGUGGAGUUGGCCUUUAUAUUUGGUAAAGGGUGGUUCUUCCUUGGCAAUGAAAAAGGCUGUGUUAAAUGUCAAUAAUAAUUUGGCCUCAGCACACUGAUUAACAGCCUCUUGCCUUCUAAAUGCAACUGAUAGUGGAGUUGCAUUUUCAUUGGAGCACAGGUUUUGGAGGAACCAAGAGAAGAUAGGAGCGUUGGAGGUGGACAGAUUCUCAACAAUGGAUGGCACUGACAAGAGUUCAAAAAGGAUGCAGUACUAACAGCGAAGGUGAAAAGACCCUGUCUUUGCACUGAGAUGAACCUGUCCAAUACUAACAUCAUUGCUCAGUUCUCCUCCUGAGGUCACUUUGAUGUCAGCUACUGACAGAAAGUACUUGUUUUUCUGUGAACAUGUGGUUUGAGCUUGAGUCUGGAGGCCCCAUUUUUGAAGAACGUUGUAUGAAGGCUGUCCAGUUUUUCAUUGGUUUAGUCAGACUUUUUAGCUAGGAUAAACAUAUUUCCAGUGGGAAUCCACUCUAUACAUUUUACUCAUGGUCCUAUAGAGGGGAUAUUAUCUCUGUUCUUUCUGAAGCCUCUUCUCCAUGGACCAGUUAAUCUGGUCAGUGCUUUAAUUGCCUUCACCUGCAGGCCCAAACUGUGCUCUCUGUAUCAUUGAAUAAACUCAGUUUAUAUGUGCA